rnacentral:tRNA from 1 species
AGGGGUGUUGCCAAGUGGUUAAGGCACUGGAUUUUGAUUCCAGCAUUCGUAGGUUCAAAUCCUGCCACCCCUGCCA